rnacentral:rRNA from 1 species
UAGAGUUUGAUCCUGGCUCAGAUUGAACGCUGGCGGCAGGCCUAACACAUGCAAGUCGAGCGGAAACGAGAAUAGCUUGCUAUUCGGCGUCGAGCGGCGGACGGGUGAGUAAUGCCUGGGAAAUUGCCCUGAUGUGGGGGAUAACCAUUGGAAACGAUGGCUAAUACCGCAUAAUAGCUUCGGCUUAAAGAGGGGGACCUUCGGGCCUCUCGCUUCAGGAUAUGCCCAGGUGGGAUUAGCUAGUUGGUGAGGUAAAGGCUCACCAAGGCGACGAUCCCUAGCUGGUCUGAGAGGAUGAUCAGCCACACUGGAACUGAGACACGGUCCAGACUCCUACGGGAGGCAGCAGUGGGGAAUAUUGCACAAUGGGCGCAAGCCUGAUGCAGCCAUGCCGCGUGUAUGAAGAAGGCCUUCGGGUUGUAAAGUACUUUCAGCAGUGAGGAAGGGUGUGUAGUUAAUAGCUGCAUACUUUGACGUUAGCUGCAGAAGAAGCACCGGCUAACUCCGUGCCAGCAGCCGCGGUAAUACGGAGGGUGCGAGCGUUAAUCGGAAUUACUGGGCGUAAAGCGUUCGUAGGCGGUUGAAUAAGCAAGAUGUGAAAGCCCAAGGCUCAACCUUGGAACUGCAUUUUGAACUGUUCGACUAGAGUACUGUAGAGGGGGGUAGAAUUUCA